GUCUUCUCCAAGCUUCACAUGUAAAAUCCAACAGUGUGAAGCACAUAGCAGCCAGAAACUGUAAUGCCACAGAUCAGAGAGGCUUCAUCAUCACCAUCUUCGCCGUACGAUCAGAGCGUGAGACUUCACAUCUGGAGCACAGGAGAGAUUCUGUGAUAAGUCUUCCUUCUAGCUUGUCCCACAAGCAGUCGGUGAGAUUUACUCACAACAAAAAGGGUUAAUGACAUUAUUUCCAUGAAAACAUGUAUUAAUUCUUUGUAAAGUGUUUAAAUUGUGUUUUCACUUGACCUUAGGAGUGUUAGAGUGUAUUUUAAUGUCUGUACUCAGGUGUUUCCCUCUGUGAUCCAUCCCCUUCAGAGCUGAGACACUCAGGACUGAACAGACUGCACAGUUUCUGUGACUGAGCCUCCAAAACACUUUCUUUGAAACCACACAUGAUAGAAGGGCUUUAUAUUUGCAGCAGCACUACUACAGUUGGCAGGAAUGUUGCUGCAGGAAAACAUCCCUGGAGAUCACCAUCAUUGUCAGACUGACUGUGCCUCCUCUGUGCAGUGUCAAGAUCCUCCCUAAAUGAGUGUUCCUCAGCUAUCCUGCUUCUGUGCUGCUUGACACACAUCAAACACUGGCCGGAUGACAGGGAGGAUCCACUCUGAAGUCACUGGACAUGAUGAGGAUCAUCUGGGACUUUAUAGUUUCACAGAAAUGUUGUGCUUUUUGAUUACAGGUUUUAAAUGGACAUAAUGACUGCCUCUCUCUGAUCAACAGGCUAAAGGAUUGUUUUCAUUGUUAGAGCUCUGUACAGUGUAUGCUUAUUUAAUAGUUCAUCACAGAGCAAACCUUUAUUUAUUUAACAUAUUUUUAUUUUGUUUUAAUGUUGAAUUAACUGUGGGGAUUGUUUUAAGUGGGCACUCGGGAUGUCAUAUGACCAGAAAUGUGGUAACUGGAAUUCAACAGUAUGUAAAAAAAAAUCUGCUAAGAACAAAACACAGACAAAAAACCCCCAAGAGAACUCAAAUUCAUUCCAUGUAAUCCAAUCUAAAACAUUUUAAACUGCUGAACAGCAACACAAACAGUGUUAAAAACCAGUGUUAACAGAAUGAUUAUGAUGAGUUUGUACCAAAGUUUCAGGUCACAUGGCACACCUAGUGUGUAGUGUGGGGUAUCAGCUGGUAAGUAUAGGUUUUUUCACAUUUGUGUCCUUAGAGUUCAGAUAGAUAAAGCCUUGUGUAUAAUAAUUAGUCAUAACCACAACUCAAAGUCAGGGACUAACUAAAUUUGGGACUUUGUGUCUGAGCCCAGGUUAAAACACUGUGUAAAAAAGCAUUUAGUGGCAUGGCUGAACAAUGCUGUAAACUAAUGAUACUUAUUUAUCCAUGUUCACAAAAAGGACUAAUGUGUUAAUUUGAUUAUUUGUAUGUGUUAAACUGUGUCACCACCUUAGGCUUUCAUUUGAGUUUACUCAAAAAUCUCUCUACAGUUCUCUUUUACCACUGUGUGGACACUGUUUACAUUAAAACACAAAAAAGAAUGAGUAAUAAAAAGAUGUGUAGACAGAUCAGUAGAUUAAGUAGACCGAUAGAAACAGCUGUUCAGCCAUGUUCUAAGAAACCAACACAAUUUAAAGGUUCAGGAUUGUGGUUUUAAAAGUUGAAUUUUCAUGUAUUUCAUAUGUUGCUUAUUAUUUUCAUUUAGUUAU